rnacentral:misc_RNA from 1 species
UGGCUCUCCUAUCGAUGAAGAACGCAGCGAAAUGCGAUAAGUAAUGUGAAUUGCAGAAUUCAGUGAAUCAUCGAAUCUUUGAACGCACCUUGCGCCCUUUGGUAUUCCGAAGGGCAUGCCUGUUUGAGUGUCAUUAAAUUAUCAACCUUGCUCGCUUUUACUAGCUUGAGCUUGGCUUGGAUUUGAGGGUUUUGCUGGCUUCCUUCAGUGGCGGUCUGCUCCCUUUAAAAGCAUUAGUGGGGUCCAUUGUGGAACGUCACUGGCUGUGAUAAUAUCUACGCCUAUCGACUGUGAAGCAACAAUGUGGGAACCUGCUUAUAACCGUCCUUCAGUUGGACAACUUUAUUGACAAUUUGACCUCAAAUCAGGUAGGACUACCCGCUGA